GCAAUAGCAGAUUUCUGGUGCCAUGCUCUCUGGAGGAGGAGACAUGAAGACGGGGAGUUUUGCCAUUGAUGCUGGCUAGCACGCACCCUUCCCCGAAGAGAAGAACAGCAUCCUGGCAGGUGCUCCUGCACACCCCCUCCCCAGAGGUAGCAUAAACUCUUUGUAGGAAGCAGAAGCAGAAGGUCCAUUGCAUUCAUUACAGGAGCGCAGAGGAGAGGAAUUCGACUAGUAGGUUAACUGGGUGACUGCAGGCCCAGCACAAGAGGUCCGUUACACAAGCAGGGAGUGGAAAGACGCAACAGCAAUAUUAACAAACUGGUUAACGUCAACACCUGGCAAAAUCCUUGGGACCCUUUAAAGAAGAGACGGGCCCGGGCUGGGAACCCAGUUCUCCAACAUGCCACUGAGCACAGCAAGGGAGGAUUAGCAGCGAGUUAACCAGUAUGUUUUAUCAAUGUGCUCGUUUGUUACGUCACGUCCUGUGGUUCCCCGAUACAGCUCACACAGCCUUUGCACCCCCUCCAAUAAGGGCCACUUUGCCAGUGGUGUCUUUAUGGCAAAGCAGUUUGCGCCAGCAAACAAAGCCCCGUGAAGCGUCCAUCCCAGUGGAGGUGAGCGUAAGGAUUCUGGCAGGGAGUCCUGAGGCGAGAAAUGAGCACACCAAGCAAGGGAAGAGGGCCAGGGAAAGGAAGAGCGUACCAAGGCUUUCAAAGUCUCUCCUCCUCCACAGAUGCUGAGCAGGAGCAACAUCUCCUUCUGCAGCCAUGCACCUCGAGGCUGGGCCAUGGCACUUAUGCUGCUGCCCUGCACUGCCCCAGGAGCAGCAAUAAGGAGACUGCGCCUCAGGCCGGUGCUGCACCUUGCACAGUGGCGGUGUGUGCAGUGGACGGUGCUGAUUCCUCCCACUGGGCAAGGAACACACAACAGCCGGCAAAGAGGGCAAAUUCUUUUACUUGUGAAAAACAUCAUUUACUCUCCUGUACAGACCUUGCUUGCAUUGCCUGGUCGGGGCUCUAGGAGUGACUUGCAGCCUAACGAUCCCUGUGCCAGGGCACAGCCUGCUGUAGGGACCAAGCGGAGGGCCCUGUGCAGCAGAAGGUGUGGGAAGAGAAAGAAAGGAAGAAAGAAAAUGAUGUGUUCCAGGACAAAGGAGUUAAAAUUUACAGCUAUUUCAAUCUGCAUCUGCAAAGGAUUUUUUCUUGCUUCCAACUGUUAAACUUCAAGUGUAAAGUGCUGCGCUCCUGUAUGGACAUUUGCUUUCAAUUAACGAAGCUAAAUCCUGAACUGAAAUAAAACGAGGUUACAGUAUUUACCAGACACAACACAUA